AUCCACUACACGGACAUUCGUCAUACAUUAGAUUUGUUUAUUUCAUUCGUUCAACUUUUCACCAAAAUGUUCAUUUCGAACGGGGAUGUAACGAAGGAUUAUUUUAAUAAUCAAUUAUUCGCUAAUUUGGGUGAAAAAAAAUACAGUUUCAUCCGUUUAUUGAGAAUGAGCACAGUAUUUCAAAUUGACAAUGCAAAAAUUGCGCUAAAACUGAAGAUCAUUCAUUUACUUGUCUGGGUCCUAACGUGAGAAAAUGUGCAAAAAAGUUUGAUCCUUGUUGUUCAGUCAAGUCAAGCCAUGUCAAAUCUAUUGAUACAACCCUAAAUCACAAAACAAUCUCAAAAGAGCUUCACAUGCCCACAGCUGACAAAUAUUAACAGCAUCCUCUGAUCUUAAACCCAUAGGCGGGAAAGGAAAAACUGAACAAAAAUAAAUAAAUGGGCCCAAGACUAUUUUAGGGGGAAUUAGACGCCUUGAAAAGGGGCUACAGAUGGUCAUCUCCUUUCCAGGAUGACCAGGCCGCAAUGGUUGCAGAGCGGCAACAUUUAACACACUACGAUGUACCUCUACUUACGAAAUGAAUUGGUUCUGUAAGAAAUUUCUUGACUAGAAAAUUAGAGACGCGCUUUCCAUGUCCUAAUCCGUUCCAAGCCCCCCCUUCCCAAAUUUCAGACGCUUUCUGAAGCAUAAAAGUCCAUCAAAAUAUCUAACAAAUAAUGUCAUAAUUAGAUUCUUACACAAUAAAUGAGAGUUGUGCAUAAUGUAAAAAACAAAGAAUAGAGUAAAGAAUAAAAAUGAUGGCCAUUUAACUUUUAACUGCGUCCUCAGCAUUUUUUGCUCUCUUUAGUCCAUGUUCGCUCUCAGAAGUAGUUUUUGACUGGCGUAUUAACAUAUUGUAAAGAAAAGGUAUGACUUGACUUCCCCUUUUAAUAACUUGCAAUUGCCUAAUUGCUACAAAAUAAUUGGACUAAAAUUAUUUCAGAACCUUUGACUCUGCAGAAGUAAAUGUUUCAGUUUUCUCUUGCUGUGUGUUGAUUUAAAAGUUGAGUUGAUUUACCUGACUCAUAGUAGUAGAGCAUCCUCUUCCAAAAGGGGAAAAAAAACAUUUCAUCAAAUGAUCUCUCUUCAACAAUU